ensembl:lncRNA
GAACAGUCACCUCUUCUCUUUGUCAGGGUUGAAGGGAGGCACUGGGAAGGAGAGAUUAAAAGAGGAGAGUCUCCACUGAUUCUGCUCGUUUCAAGGCAUUCCUCUUCGCUCUCUCCCUCUCUCUCACUGCCCCCCCCCCCCCGGUAUGACCCUGUUCAAGAGUGAAUAUCACAGCCUAAGACAUAGGACCAUGACUGAGGAACUGAGGACAAGCCGCCCAAAGGCAGGAACCAAGAGAUCCAGGAGUGAGGCCUACAGAUAAACUCAUCAGAGAGUUGGUGUUUCAACUUUCUGUCUGCAUUUUAAAUGACCUCCCACUGGACUCUUUUCAUAUUUUACAUAGAGGCUUUCAAAGAAAGACAGUUUGCAUCCAUAUUCAUAAGUUUGACACAUUAGUUCAGAAGCAAAGAUGAGAGGACUUGGUCUCCCAUGUGACUUGGCUGGACUGUUUUUUGCUGUUGGGGCUGUUUUUUGUGUGUUUUUUUUCUUUCUUUUUUUCUUGUUUAUGUUUGUUUGUGUGUGUGUAUGACUGUAAGAUUGGAUAUAAUGUAUUGGGCAUAACCCCAAGGCUGUUUGGAUCAGUCAUCUGUCUAUAUUAUUACACCAUGCUAGUUGUGAAUGACACACACUCAUCCUCUAUUACAACGACCUUGGCAUGCUCGUUUUCUACCUCUCUGCACCCGCCAAUGCUACUCUCCUCUAAGUGUAUUCCUGUAACCAUCCCCCCCUUGACACCAGCUUUCCACAUCAUCACAUUUUAUUUAUUUCAAUUUUUUUAUUUCAUUUUUUAUUUAACCUUUAUUUUGACAUGGAGUUGUCAUGACGUUGCCCUCUUUGAGUACAGCGAGCACCAUCCCCCGCUCUCUGCUUCUACAACCAGACUGCUGUGGUCAGAGGACGUAAAUUCCUGAGAAGACCUCAUGGACACACAGUAUUAGAGAGAGGGUAAACUUUCACAGAGGACAAAGGAAAUCCUUCCACCUCACAGAACUUGAGGUACGAACAAAUUUCAUGUUCCAGAGAAAGUGUAAAAGAUCGGUGAAGAAUCCAGCUACGAACUGGUGCGUUUAUCACAACUUGGGAAGCUCAAGAGAGAUGGUGUGGCCACA